rnacentral:rRNA from 1 species
UACGAACCGUCCAAACGUUAUUCGGAAUCACUGGGCUUACAGAGUUCGUAGGCGGUCUGGAAAGUUGGGUGUGAAAUCCCUCGGCCUAACCGAGGAACUGCGCUUGAAACUACCAGACUCGAGGGAGAUAGAGGAAAGCGGAACUGAUGGUGGAGCGGUGAAAUGCGUUGAUAUCAUCAGGAACACCGGUGGCGAAGGCGGCUUUCUGGGUCUUACCUGACGCUGAGGAACGAAAGCCAGGGGAGCGAACGGG